AGAUGAGAAAACGGGCUCAGCGUGGUUUGCCAAGGUCACAUGGCCGGACAACGGUGGAGCCCGGGCUCUGGGCCCACGUGCUUACAACCAGAAUUAAGUUGUCAGGGAUUUCUCUAGCUGUGGAAUGAAAGCUGGAUGUCUCCCACGGUGCCUUCCCUGGCCUAGUUCUGUCACACAGCUGAGCCACCCUCUGGAGGCUUUAUCUCAGUGGCUAACAUCUAGCUGAGUCCUUGAGGGACAGAGCACCAGGGCGUGGUACUUUCCCCAAAGAAAGGCACCUACAACAGGACACCAAUGGACUGUCACAGAGAGUUCAGGGAGUGGCAGAGGAUGAGCUGGAGAAGUAGAUGUGAGAGGCAGGGGACAGGGUGGAGGGCCUUGCGGGUUGAGGUUUACUCAAGAGGGUCAUGGAAAAGUUAGGGAGUGAAAGCAAGAAGGGAGCAGCGCAGGACAGCUUUGCUUUUGGAGAAUUCCUGCUACUCGCUGUAUAGUUGUGAAGACAGUGGAGUGUGUGGGAAGAACAUAAGGUAGUUCCCCUACAUGUGCACACAUGAGCAGAGGUGUGGCACACCUGUGCAGAGGAAGGGUCUCCACUAGGCCCCCUUCAGCCCUUCCCCCAUUUGUACUUCCCAUCUCUCCUUACCCUAGACCAGUAGUUUUCGGUCUUGGUUGUGUAUAUGAAUGACUCAUCAAAAUUUGUGAACAUAAAAAUUCCUUCCAGAAACCUGUCACAGAGACUGUCACUGGGGAGUCUGGU